AUGUUGGAUGUCAGUUCACACACAACGGAAUACGAGAUUGGAGUGGACUAUGCUGAAAUUUAUCGGAGCUCCUCCCUAUAUAGGAAGAACAAACUUCUUAUUGAAGAGCUUGGAAAACCAGCGCCAAACACAGAAGAUCUACAUUUCCCUCCAAGAUAUUGGCUAAACUUUAGGGCACAAUGCAUCGCUUGCCUAUGGAAACAAAGAUGUGCAUAUUGGAAAAAUCUAGAGCAUAAUGUUGUUCGAUUCCUAAACACAUUUGUUCUAUCAAUUAUGUUUGGAAUUGUAUUUUGGUAGACUGGAUCAACCAUUAAACAACAACAAGAUAUAUUCAACAUACUAGGGCUGAUAUACGGAUCAGCAUUGUUUCUUGGCUUCAACAACUGUUGUAUCUUACAACCGGUUGUGGCAACAGAGAGGAUUGUUCUCUACCGAGAAAAGGCAGCAGGCACAUACGCUACAUUGGCCUAUGCCAUAGCUCAGGUGGCAAUUGAAUUGCCUUACAUGCUUGUCCAAAUUCGGAUGUAA
rnacentral:rRNA from 1 species